GUGUACAUGUAUGUAUGUGUGUGUGAGAUUAUUUGAGUGUACCUCAUUAGUGUUUAUUAUGCUAGUAUCAGCACAAUACUAAUACAAUUUAAAUGUCAUUCAUUGCCUUGUUUUUAAUUCUAUUUUUUGAUUUCUUGAAGACAUGGAUGGUACUUAUGCCAAUGUUUCACAGAAACCCAAUGUUAUGCUGAAGCCAGUGGGUCCAAAAACUUAGAAUUGAUACCACCAAACUUGGAUGGUGCUUAUGUUAAUGUUUGGAAGUGUCUUGGUGGUUACCAGUGAAGGUCCAUGCUUUUCAGAUGAACAAGAACUUAGAACUUAGUAUUAUUGUAUUUCACACCUAGAACUAAGUGGAAUCUUGUGGACAACCCAUGUCAGUCUCCUUGUCAUCAUUUCAUAGACACUUUUGCAAACAUUGCAGACUUGAGUAAAUAUCUAAUACUACCAUAACAUUAUAGGUCUCUAUUAUAUGCUGUAACUGCAUUAUUUUUGUAUUCACAGCAUUGACAAAUACUUGAUUUAUUUUUAAUCUUUGUAAAUAUCUAUCCAUGACUAAACAUUUGCAUCAAUGAAGUAAACUCAGUUAAAUUUCUGUAUCCCUUUCUUCCUAUGAGUCAUCAUCAGCUAAACAUACUAUGCAUAUUUAACAACAUUGCUGUGAAUAUUACCAAUUUUUGGAAUUAUCAUCAUCAUCAUCAUUGUCCAUGUCUGUUGUCCAUUCUGGCAUGGGUUUGACGGUUUGACUGGGCUGGCACACUGGAAGGCUGCACCAGGAUCUUGUCUGGUUUGGCAUGGUUUUCUAUGGCUGGAUGCCCUUCCUAACAUCAACCACUCUGAGAGUGUAAUGGGUGCUCUUACGUGCCACUGGUAUGGAUGCUAUUUGUGUGACACCGGUAUCUUCCACAACUGCGAUUUUGCUCAGCUUGAUGCGUCUUCUUCUCAAGCACAACAUAAUGCCAAAGGUCUUGGUCAUUGCUUCCGUGAGGCCCAAUGCUCAAAAGAAGCUCAGCCACCUCGCUUCUGUGAAGCCCAACACUUGAAAGGAACUCAGCCACUUUGCCUCUAUGCGGGCUAAGAGUUCAACCACUUUGCCUCCAUGAGGCUCAAUGCUCAAGAGGAAUUCAGCCACCUCACCUCUGUGAGGCCCAACACUCAAAAGGAGCUCAGCCACUUUGCCUCCAUCAGGCCCAACGCUCAAAAGCUACUCAGCCUCUUUGUCUCCAUGGGGCUCAAUGUUCAAAGAUUGAUUUUUUUAUGUGCCACCAGCACAUGUGCACUUGGCUUGAUGGGUCCUCUUCAGAAGACUACAUUGCCAAAGGUCUCAAUCACUUAGUCAUUGCCUCUGGGAAGUUUAAAGUUCGAAGGUCAUGCUUCACUACUUUGUCCCAUGUCUUCCUAGGUCUACCUCUACCACAGGUGCCUUCCGCAGUUAGAGAUCAGCACUUCUUUACACAACUGUCCACAUCCAUCCGCAUCACAUGACCAUAGCAAUGCAGUUGUCUCUCUUGCACACCACAUCUGAUUCCUCUUAUACCUAACUUUUCUCUUAAGAUGCUUACACUCUGCCGAACAUGCACACUGAUAUUGCACAUUCAGCGAAGCAUACUGGCUUCAUUUCUUUGAUGCCUACACAUGUCCUUGGCUGUCAUAGUCCAGGUUUCACUGCCAUGGAGCAUAACUGUUUACACACAGGCAUCAAAUCUGCCUUUCAUUCUGAGGGAGAAGCCCUUUGUUGCCAGCAUGGGUAGGAGCUCUCUGAACUUUGCCCAGCCUAAUCUUAUUCUCACAGUUACACUCAUGGAACAACCACCUCUACUAUUACCUGGUCGCCUAGAUACGGGAAGCUAUCUAGUACCUCUGGCUUGUUCCCCUUGGCAGUUGAUGGAGUCUAUUUUCUGCACAUGUUCAGCAUUUAUUAUGCCUGUGCACCUUCCACAUACAAAAGUUAGUUUCUCUGUUUACCUUCCUUUGAUGUUGCUGCACCUUUUGUGUGUCCAAAGCUUACACUGGGCGCAUCUUAUGAAGUUUCUACCUCCACCUUUUCUACAGAUUGAGCAGGGCCAUCUACCUGAGGGGAUUUGUGAUUUGUCUACCUUCCAAUUUACUAUGACUUUGGUUUCUGCUAGGUUAACUCUAAGACCCUUUGAGUCUAGACUUUGUUUCCAUACCUGGAACUUCUUCUCUAGUUCUGGUAGUGAUUCAGUUAUAAGAGCAAGGUCAUCAGCAUAGAGGAGUUUCCAGCGGCAGCCUGUCUUGAAUUCCUCCAUUAUUGCCUGGAGGAAUAUGAUGAACAAGAGUGGGCUGAGCACCAAUCCUAGGUGAACCCCUACUUGUACCCUGAAUUCUUUGCUGUACUCGUUGCCUACUCUCACCUUACUGGUCAUGUCCCUGUACAUGGCUUGCACAGCUCUCACCAACCACUCAUCUAUCCCUAGUUUCUACAUCCCUAGUUUAAGCACCUCAGUGGUGAUUCCUGAUGGGCUGGGUGGUUUUCCCUGUCUUCAUAUCCUUAAUUGCUUUAUCUACCAGGGUACUGUCAAUUUGGAUAGCUGGUCCCUCAGUUGGGUCAACAUUUGGCAGACUCUCCUUC